CCUACGGGCGGCAGCAGUGAGGAAUAUUGGUCAAUGGGCGCGAGUCUGAACCAGCCAUGCCGCGUGCAGGAAGACGGCCCUAUGGGUUGUAAACUUCUUUUGUCGGAGGAUAAACGCCGGGACGCGUAUCGGUCUGCGAGUAUCCGAAGAAAAAGCAUCGGCUAACUCCGUGCCAGCAGCCGCGGUAAUACGGAGGAUUCGAGCGUUAUUCGGAUUUAUUGGGUUUAAAGGGGGCGUAGGCGGGCGGACAAGUUAGAGGUGAAAUCCUGAGGCUUAACUUCAGAAUUGCCUUUGAUACUGUUAGGCUAGAGUAUAGGAGCGGUAGGUGGAAUGCUUGGUGUAGCGGUGAAAUGCGUAGAGAUCAAACAGAAUACCGAUUGCGAAGGCAGCCUACCAGGCCACUUCUGACGCUGAGGCACGAAAGCGUGGGGAGCAAACAGGAUUAGAUACCCGGGUAGUC
rnacentral:rRNA from 1 species